UACAGAGGGGGCAAGCGUUAUUCGGAAUUAUUGGGCGUAAAGGGCGCGUAGGCGGCUUUGCAAGUGACGGGUGAAAUCCCUCGGCUUAACCGGGGAACUGCGUCUGAUACUGGAUGGCUUGAGUUCGGGAGAGGGAUGCGGAAUUCCAGGUGUAGCGGUGAAAUGCGUAGAGAUGUGGAGGAACACCGAUGGCGAAGGCAGCCUCCUGGGCCAGCACUGACGCUCAUGCACGAAAGCGUGGGGAGCAAACAGG
rnacentral:rRNA from 1 species